rnacentral:sRNA from 1 species
AUGUCGCCAGUGACCACAAUCUUUUUAACAUGCAGACAACAUAAAGAACUCCUUUUUAUUAGGGAGAUACCACAUUUUCAUGUAUCUCUAAAAUAGGUUAAAUAAUUUGGUUAGCUUACAUUAUGUAUGUUUUACUCCAGGAUUUUUAAAAAUGUUUUUUGAUGGAGAAAACUGUAAAUAUAUAAUGGGGCUUUACUGACUUUUAAAAAGUGACAUUUUCCAUGAUAUUUGUAUAUGUAAUAUUAUUUUUUACUUAUAUAAAUGGACUUACCUUGGUCAUUGGCCAAAAUAAGUUACAUUCUAUUUUCCAUUUGACUGUUUGGUUUGAUGAUUUUCUGUGGACCAUAUUAACAAGUUGCAUUUGUUGCCAUUUUUGCUGGCAGCCAUUCAUCGGAACAGCCCCCGUCCUAUGAAGGUACCUCGAUGCCAUAGUGACCCUCCUAACCCACACCUCAUUAUCCCCACUCCAGAGGGAUUCAGGGGUUCCAGCGUCCCUGAAAAUGAUCGGUUGGCUUCCAUAGCUGCUGAAUUGCAGUUUAGGUCCCUGAGUCGUCACUCAAGCCCCACGGAGGAGCGAGACG